rnacentral:rRNA from 1 species
CCUACGGGAGGCUGCAGUGGGGAAUAUUGCACAAUGGGCGGAAGCCUGAUGCAGCAACGCCGCGUGCGGGAUGACGGCCUUCGGGUUGUAAACCGCUUUCGCCUGUGACGAAGCGUGAGUGACGGUAAUGGGUAAAGAAGCACCGGCUAACUACGUGCCAGCAGCCGCGGUGAUACGUAGGGUGCGAGCGUUGUCCGGAUUUAUUGGGCGUAAAGGGCUCGUAGGUGGUUGAUCGCGUCGGAAGUGUAAUCUUGGGGCUUAACCCUGAGCGUGCUUUCGAUACGGGUUGACUUGAGGAAGGUAGGGGAGAAUGGAAUUCCUGGUGGAGCGGUGGAAUGCGCAGAUAUCAGGAGGAACACCAGUGGCGAAGGCGGUUCUCUGGGCCUUUCCUGACGCUGAGGAGCGAAAGCGUGGGGAGCGAACAGGCUUAGAUACCCCUGUAGUC